GGCACUAUGGUGGAGUGGUUAACACGUGUGUCUCAAGUACACAUCCUCCGAUGAGGGCACGGGUUCGAAUCCCGUUGGUGCUA
rnacentral:tRNA from 1 species